AAAAAAAAACGAUGAGGCAGCGAAAAGAAAUAGAGCCGGCAGUGCCAAUGGCAUUGCCGUUUUCAAUGGGGGAUAUCUAAACCCAUCCAAAAUCGAGUAUCAAUUGGAGGACAAGUCUGGUGCCAGCACCCGCGG
rnacentral:rRNA from 1 species